rnacentral:rRNA from 1 species
UACGAGGGGGGCAAAUGUUGUUCGGAAUCACUGGGCGUAAAGGGAGCGUAGGCGGGUUCUUAAGUAAGGUGUUUAAUCCCGGGGCCCAACCCCGGACCGGCACUUUAAACUGGGAAUCUUGAAUAGUGGAGAGGUCGGUGGAAUUGGGGGUGUGAGCGGUGGAAUGCGUAGAGACUCCCCAAGAACACCAGUUGCGAAGGCGGCCGACUGGACACAUAUUGACGCUGAGGCUCGAAAGCAUGGGGAGCAAACAGG